rnacentral:rRNA from 1 species
UACGUAGGGGGCGAGCGUUGUCCGGAUUUACUAGGCGUAAAGCGCACGCAGGCGGUCUGCUAAGUUUGGAGUGACAGUUGGUGGCUUAACUGCCAAAGUGCUUCGAAAACUGACAGACUUGAGGGCUUCAGAGGGACACGGAAUUCCGGGUGGAGUGGUGAAAUGCGUAGAGAUCCGGAGGAACACCAAAGGCGAAGGCAGCGUCCUGGGGAGUACCUGACGCUCAGGUGCGAAAGCCAGGGGAGCGAACGGG